GCAGUCGUGGCCGAGUGGUUAAGGCGAUGAACUAGAAAUCCAUUGGGGUCUCCCCGCACAGGUUCAGAUCCUGUCGACUGCG
rfam:Ixodes scapularis strain Wikel colony gcontig_1108378304440, whole genome shotgun sequence.